UACGUAGGUGGCAAGCGUUGUCCGGAUUUACUGGGCGUAAAGAGCGCGCAGGCGGUCGUUCAAGUCGAGUGUGAAAGCCCCCGGCUCAACUGGGGAGGGUCACUCGAUACUGAUCGACUUGAAGGCAGGAGAGGGAAGCGGAAUUCCCAAUGUAGCGGUGAAAUGCGUAGAUAUUGGAGGAACACCAGUGGCGAAGGCGGCUACCUGGACCGGUUCUGACGCUGAGGCGCGAAAGCGUGGGUAGCAAACAGG
rnacentral:rRNA from 1 species